AGUGAUUGAACUCCAAAAUCCUUAUCAGAAUUUUUCGAUUAUAAUGGGGGAGAAAUACCGCGUUGCCACAUCUCCAACUCCUUCCACCACCACCGACUCACCCGCAUCUGAGCCUACAUCAACGUGUCACCGUGCCGGAGCUCUGAAGCGCAAGGCCAGCUCCCUCUCACUAUAGCGUGUCAAACCUGCACGGUGUCAUCGCUGCGUGGUCAUCUUCCCCGGCAAGUUCUGUCGCUUGUUCUGCCUUUACCCCGACGGAUGUGAAGCACCUGGAGCACAGUUUGGGCGUGGACUCAGUGCGGCUGGCUGAAAAGAUUUGAGAGAAGAGAAAAAAAGAGAGAUUCAGAGAUGAGAGAUAGCUUGCCUUGCCGUCGUCGUUGCCGUCACCACCGCAGUUCAUCGCCUCUCCAGAUCUGGUCGCAAUGCCCAAGCCUCUGAGGAUGUUCCAUUACGACCUCCUCGACGAGACGAAGAACAAGCUCGAUUACAUCCUCUCUCUCUCUCUCUCUCUCUCUCUCUCUCUCUCUCUCUCUCUCUCUCUAUUGAGAACUUCCUCGAGCGCCGCCUUCGUAUUCUCAUCUUCAAGUCCGGCAUGGCCAAGUCCAUCCAUCAGUGCAUAUUAGGUCAUUUUACAUCUUUUCACAUUUUUCCUCAAUUUAGGGUUUUUAAAUUCUUAAUUUUCUAUCACUCACGUUUCUUUGUUUUUUUUGUGCUUACUUUAAAGUUUAGAAUCUAAUUUCUUAAACAUUCAAGUAGCUCAAAAUUAUAGUCUGAUCUCUUUGUUGGUUUCUAGGCUUUUGAUAAAUUAUUUAAUUAUGUAUCUAGCUUAGUUCAAAUGAUUGUAGAUGAAGGAUGAUUUCAAGAAGUGAAUAAAUUUUACUGUGAGCAGCAUUUUCACAGGCCACAGAGGAGGUUCAUUGAGCUAGAGGCUCUAGAGAAAAUCAUACAGGAAAGAAUAGUUAUCAUUUUGGAUGUCUGAGAAAGGAUACUCUACCUAUUAUGCAACUUGAAGAGAUUAAAGUUGUUGUUUCUGCGCUAUGGAACACACGAGGCUUGAACUGGCCUAGUUCUUUCGAGCAACAAAGACAGAGAACAGAAGACCUAGACUUGCUUGAUUGGCUUAAAGCCAUGUUUGGUUUCCAGG